rnacentral:rRNA from 1 species
GUCUAUGGCCAUGCUAACUUGAACAUGCCCGAUCUCGUCUGAUCUUGGAAGCUAAGCAGGGCCGGGCCUCGUUAGUACUUGGGUGGGAGACCACCUAGGAAGACCAGGUGCUGUAGGUU